rnacentral:rRNA from 1 species
AACAUUGGACAAUGGGGGCAACCCCGAUCCAGCCAUGCCGCGUGUGUGAAGAAGGUCCCCGCAUUGUAAAGCACUUUAAGCUGGGAGGAAGGGCUUUAGGUUAAUACACCGAAGUCUUGACGUUACCAACAGAAGAAGCACCGGCCAACCCGUUGCCAGCAGCCGCGGUAACACAGAGGGUGCAAGCGUUAAUCGGAAUUACUGGGCGUAAAGCGCGCGUAGGUGGUUCAGUAAGAUGGGUGUGAAAUCCCCGGGCUUAACCUGGGAACUGCUUUCAUAACUGCUGAGCUAGAGUACGGUAGAGGGUAGUGGAAUUUCCUGUGUAGCGGUGAAAUGCGUAGGUAUAGGAAGGAACACCAGUGGCGAAGGCGACUACCUGGACUGAUACUGACACUGAGGUGCGAGAGCGUGGGGAGCAAAC